CCUGCCUCUAGAGGCUUUACAGGUGUGGCUGCUGUACUACAUGUAUGUCAGUAGGUGGCAGAGAGGAGAGAGGCUAUGUCUAUGCUCACUAUUCUGACCUUUGAACACCUGGAUGAUGUUCAACAUCCCCUG